UACGUAGGGCGCAAGCGUUGUCUGGAAUUAUUGGGCGUAAAGAGCUCGUAGGCGGCUUGUCACGUCGGAUGUGAAAGCCCGGGGCUUAACUCCGGGUCUGCAUUCGAUACGGGCUGGCUAGAGUGUGGUAGGGGAGAUCGGAAUUCCUGGUGUAGCGGUGAAAUGCGCAGAUAUCAGGAGGAACACCGGUGGCGAAGGCGGAUCUCUGGGCCAUUACUGACGCUGAGGAGCGAAAGCGUGGGGAGCGAACAGG
rnacentral:rRNA from 1 species